UUGUUUGGGAAUGCAGCUCAAAAUGGGUGGUAAAUUCCAUCUAAAGCUAAAUAUUGGCGAGAGACCGAUAGCGAACAAGUACCGUGAGGGAAAGAUGAAAAGAACUUUGGAAAGAGAGUUAAACAGUACGUGAAAUUGCUGAAAGGGAAACGCUUGAAGUCAGUCGCGUUGNNNGGGGAUCAACCUUGCUUUUGCUGGGUGUACUUUCCGGUUGACGGGUCAGCAUCAAUUUUGACCGUUGGAUAAAGUGUAAGGGAAUGUGGCAUCUUCGGAUGUGUUAUAGCCCUUGCUCGCAUACAACGGUUGGGAUUGAGGAACUCAGUACGCCGCAAGGCCGGG
rnacentral:rRNA from 1 species